GGCGAGAUUCAGCUCCACCAUGCUGGUCCAUGUGCCGAAGUCCAGCGGCAGCGACGUCAACUGGUUGUCCUGAAGGCAAAAAGAAGCACAUUUGAUCAGCAGUGUGAUUCUCAGUUUGUGGAUGAAAUCAUUAUUUCUUACUUCCUCAUCUCACCUUCAUGUUGAGCUUGCUGAGGACUUUGGCUCGUGAGAAGAUGCCGAACGGGAUCUUGUUGAUGCGGUUGUGCUCCAUGUUGAGCGAGUAGAUGGUGGAGAACUGCGACGGGCCGCCCACCGGGUACGACUGGAAACAGUUGCGCGCCAGCGUCAGACUCGUCAGGUUCACCAGGCUCGAGAGAAGACCCUGUAGACCACCACAGGUUUUCCUACAGACGGGAAGAGAUGAAGGGAAAAGGGGAAGGACAGCGGGUUGCUCGAACCUCAGGCAGCAGGGAGAUGUUGUUGUUCUCGAGGUUUAACUCCUCCAGCUCCCGACACUUGGAUAAAGAUCUGGGGAUGG